AUUGAACGCUGGCGGCAUGCUUUACACAUGCAAGUCGAACGGUAACAGGGAGCUUGCUCCGCUGACGAGUGGCGAACGGGUGAGUAAUGCGUCGGAACGUGCCGAGUAGUGGGGGAUAACGCAUCGAAAGGUGUGCUAAUACCGCAUACGUACUGAGGUAGAAAGUGGGGGACCUUCGGGCCUCACGCUAUUCGAGCGGCCGACGUCUGAUUAGCUAGUUGGUGAGGUAAAGGCUCACCAAGGCGACGAUCAGUUGCGGGUCUGGGAGGAUGAUCCGCAACACUGGGACUGAGACACGGCCCAGACUCCUACGGGAGGCAGCAGUGGGGAAUUUUGGACAAUGGGCGCAAGCCUGAUCCAGCCAUGCCGCGUGUCUGGAGAAGGCCUUCGGGUUGUAAAGGACUUUUGUCCGGGAGCAAAUGCUGGUGGCUAACAUCCACCGGAGCUGAGAGUACCGGAAGAAUAAGCACCGGCUAACUACGUGCCAGCCGCCGCUGUAAGAC
rnacentral:rRNA from 1 species